GCUAGCGUUGUUCGGAAUUACUGGGCGUAAAGCGCACGUAGGCGGCUUUGUAAGUUAGAGGUGAAAGCCCGGGGCUCAACCCCGGAAUUGCCUUUAAGACUGCAUCGCUUGAAUCCAGGAGAGGUGAGUGGAAUUCCGAGUGUAGAGGUGAAAUUCGUAGAUAUUCGGAAGAACACCAGUGGCGAAGGCGGCUCACUGGACUGGUAUUGACGCUGGGGUGCGAAAGCGUGGGGAGCAAACAGG
rnacentral:rRNA from 1 species